rnacentral:rRNA from 1 species
AUUGAACGCUGGCGGCAUGCCUUACACAUGCAAGUCGAACGGUAACAGGUCUUCGGAUGCUGGCGAGUGGCGAACGGGUGAGUAAUACAUCGGAACGUGCCCAGACGUGGGGGAUAACGAGGCGAAAGCUUUGCUAAUACCGCAUACGAUCUAAGGAUGAAAGCAGGGGACCGCAAGGCCUUGCGCGUUUGGAGCGGCCGAUGGCAGAUUAGGUAGUUGGUGGGAUAAAAGCUUACCAAGCCGACGAUCUGUAGCUGGUCUGAGAGGACGACCAGCCACACUGGGACUGAGACACGGCCCAGACUCCUACGGGAGGCAGCAGUGGGGAAUUUUGGACAAUGGGCGAAAGCCUGAUCCAGCAAUGCCGCGUGCAGGAUGAAGGCCUUCGGGUUGUAAACUGCUUUUGUACGGAACGAAAAGGCUCUGGCUAAUACCUGGGGCACAUGACGGUACCGUAAGAAUAAGCACCGGCUAACUACGUGC